UCACACAACCAGAACUGAAUGUAAACAAAACAGCAAGUUGUUACCGUUUGCUGAUCAUUCACUGAACAAGAAUUAUCGUCUACUACCUCUCGCCUGGCAAUCUUGCUUAAGCCUUGUGUUUGGUGGCGCACACUCCAGUAAAAGAAGAGAAACACUACAGACUUCACUUCAGCCACAUAGCAGUAUAUUAUUUUGGCAGCUGGAGACUACCUAUAGGUAUGACGUGCUAGAUUCAUCCAAAAAGAAACUCGAUCAAACGCAAACGGAGGAGGAAUAAAACAAGCAAGGGAGCCAUUUCAAAGGCAUAUCCCACCUACUACUACUACUACGUGCUUGAUUGAUUCAUUAAGCCAUCAGGAGUAAACCGAAGCGAACCUACGAUGGACAUUUCCACAGAUUCCAGUGAAGCAAAAGCCAAAGUAAAAGUUUUACAAGAAUUAGACUACGAGUUACAACAUUUGAAGAAUAACAGACAGUUGUACCUACAGCAGCCAAAUAGCAACAUAUACUUUAAAUGUACAAAACCAGAAGCUUUAAGUCAUUUAGCAAGUGAGAGGAAGGCACUGGAAAAACAACCUUAGUUGAGAAAAUAGUGUAUUUUCAGUUAUUUAUAUAUGUAAUUUUAUUAUUUGGAAGCCUUAAAGAGUAAUUAGUCUGUAGUUUGUCAUUACAAUUUGUUAAACUUCAAUAUUAUAUAAUAUAUAUAUUGCUUCUG